UCCCUGGUGGCUCAGACGGUAAAGCGUCUGCCUACAAUGCGGGAGACCCGGGUUCAAUCCCUGGGUCGGGAA
rnacentral:tRNA from 1 species